ACUGUCUCUUUUGAAAUCGUCAGAAGGUCCAAGAAGUGUCCAGGUCCCUGGUUCCUGGUUGUUUUUGCUUAAAUGUGUUGAGAGUGAGUAAAUAGAAACAUUACUAAGUGUUUCGACAACACGUAAGUGUAGCUUUAGUUUGUGAUUCUGGUUAAGUCGUAGAGUUUAAAGCUGAAGAGUCACGUUAGCAUUUCCGCGAUGGGCCCCAAGCAGCCACGUGGAGAUCACUGUGCGAUGGACAAUAUGAAAGACAAAGUUAAACAUGGUGGCCCUCACUCUGGUGGCUCUUUGAACUCAAUGAUUGAAAAGUCGAGACUGAGAUGAAAACCUUAUGAGCUGCCUGUGAUGUCAUGGAUUGUUCCUCGUCUUCCCAACUAAACCAGCUGACUGGACACGACUCAUUCCUUGCAGCAAAAAGCCUGAGCUGCCAUAAGAUGUGCUGUAGUCAUGCAGUGCUGCGCAUACUUCCAACUGAACCGACUGACUGGAGAACAUACAUUUUUGUGCAGGAAAAAACCUGUGAGGUUCCAUAAGAUGUGCUGUAGUCAUGCAGUGCUGUGCAUACUUCCAUCCAAACCAGCUGACGAAGAACAUCAAUUUUUGCAGAAAAAGGCCUGUGAGCUGCCAUAAGAUGUGCUGUAGUCGUGCAGUGCUGUGCAUACUUCCAACUGAACCAGCUGACAGAAGAACACUCACUUUGUGCAGGAAAAACCUGUGAGCUGCCUAAGAUGUGCUGUAGUCAUGCAGUGCUGCGCAUACUUCCAGCUGACGAAGAACAUCCAUUUUUUUUUGGAGCAAAACACCUGAGCUGCCCUAAGAUGUGCUGUAGUCAUGCAGUGCUGCAUAAACAUCCAACCCAACCAGCUGACAGAAGAACACUCACUUUGUGCAGCAAAAAGCCUGAGCUGCCAUAAGAUGUGCUGUAGUCAUGCAGUGCUGCGCAUACUUCCAACUGAACCGACUGACUGAAGAACAUACAUUUUUUUUUUGCAGGAAAAAACCUGUGAGCUGCCAUAAGAUGUGCUGUAGUCAUGCAGUGCUGUGAAUACUUCCAUCCAAACCAGCUGACAGAAGAACAUCCCUUUUUUUUUUUUGGAGGAAAAACCUGUGAGCUGCCUAAGAUGUGCUGUAGUCAUGCAGUGCUGCGCAUACUUCCAGCUGACGAAGAACAUCCAUUUUCUUUGGAGCAAAACGCCUGAGCUGCCCUAAGCUGUGUCGAGUCAUGCAGUGCUGCGCAUACUUCCAACCAAACCAGCUGACAGAAGAACACUCACUUUAUGCAGGAAAAAAAACCUGUGAGCUGCCAUAAGAUGUGCUGUAGUCAAGCAGUGCUGCGCAUACUUCCAUCCAAACCAGCUGACAGAAGAACAUCCCUUUUUUUUUUUUGAGCGAAAGGCCUGUGAGCUGCCAUAAGAUGUGCUGUAGUCAUGCAGUGCUGCAUAAACAUCCAACCAAACCAGCUGACGGAAGAACACUCACUUUGUGCAGAUGAUCGUGGGACUCAUGGACACUGAUCUGAAGAAGGAGAACUUGUUUGUUCAAAAAACAUUUCACAUUGUAAAAAGACACUGAUCCAUUGAAAUAAAGUCCUAUCUGCCUGAUAA